CGCUUUGUGGUUCAACUGAUUUGAAGAGCUUGCUCAGAUAUGACGAUGGACAUUGCAAAGAGUGGCGAACGGGUGAGUAACACGUGGGAAACCUACCUCUUAGCAGGGGAUAACAUUUGGAAACAGAUGCUAAUACCGUAUAACAAUGACAACCGCAUGGUUGUUAUUUAAAAGAUGGUUCUGCUAUCACUAAGAGAUGGUCCCGCGGUGCAUUAGCUAGUUGGUAAGGUAAUGGCUUACCAAGGCGAUGAUGCAUAGCCGAGUUGAGAGACUGAUCGGCCACAAUGGGACUGAGACACGGCCCAUACUCCUACGGGAGGCAGCAGUAGGGAAUCUUCCACAAUGGGCGAAAGCCUGAUGGAGCAACGCCGCGUGUGUGAUGAAGGGUUUCGGCUCGUAAAACACUGUUGUAAGAGAAGAAUGACAUUGAGAGUAACUGUUCAAUGUGUGACGGUAUCUUACCAGAAAGGAACGGCUAAAUACGUGCCAGCAGCCGCGGUAAUACGUAUGUUCCAAGCGUUAUCCGGAUUUAUUGGGCGUAAAGCGAGCGCAGACGGUUAUUUAAGUCUGAAGUGAAAGCCCUCAGCUCAACUGAGGAAUUGCUUUGGAAACUGGAUGACUUGAGUGCAGUAGAGGAAAGUGGAACUCCAUGUGUAGCGGUGAAAUGCGUAGAUAUAUGGAAGAACACCAGUGGCGAAGGCGGCUUUCUGGACUGUAACUGACGUUGAGGCUCGAAAGUGUGGGUAGCAAACAGGAUUAGAUACCCUGGUAGUCCACACCGUAAACGAUGAGUGCUAGGUGUUUGAGGGUUUCCGCCCUUAAGUGCCGCAGCUAACGCAUUAAGCACUCCGCCUGGGGAGUACGACCGCAAGGUUGAAACUCAAAGGAAUUGACGGGGACCCGCACAAGCGGUGGAGCAUGUGGUUUAAUUCGAAGCAACGCGAAGAACCUUACCAGGUCUUGACAUCCCUUGACAACUCCAGAGAUGGAGCGUUCCCUUCGGGGACAAGGUGACAGGUGGUGCAUGGUUGUCGUCAGCUCGUGUCGUGAGAUGUUGGGUUAAGUCCCGCAACGAGCGCAACCCUUAUUACUAGUUGCCAGCAUUCAGUUGGGCACUCUAGUGAGACUGCCGGUGACAAACCGGAGGAAGGUGGGGAUGACGUCAAAUCAUCAUGCCCCUUAUGACCUGGGCUACACACGUGCUACAAUGGCGUAUACAACGAGUUGCCAACCCGCGAGGGUGAGCUAAUCUCUUAAAGUACGUCUCAGUUCGGAUUGUAGGCUGCAACUCGCCUACAUGAAGUCGGAAUCGCUAGUAAUCGCGGAUCAGCACGCCGCGGUGAAUACGUUCCCGGGUCUUGUACACACCGCCCGUCACACCAUGAGAGUUUGUAACACCCAAAGCCGGUGGGGUAACCUUCGGGAGCCAGCCGUCU
rnacentral:rRNA from 1 species